UCACACGUUUUCAGUUCUAAGCGGAGAAUGUCCCAGAACUCCAAGUGAAUUUAGAAUGAAGGGGGGGGGGCUAACCACAUAAGAGGGAACCCGAGAGCCGAGAAUAUUUUUUUCUUCUUCGGGAAACGGAGAGAAAGAUGCUGGUCAGAGAAGGAAGAGGUGUAUAGCAGAUCCUGGAGGGUGAUCGACAGAGGCGGUUAAGACUGAGAGUUUGGAGGAAAAAAAAGUUAUCUUUCAUUGAAAGACAAGAGGGCCCCGGGCUGCGUAUCUGAUGGGGACUGUGCAACCGAAUGGCGGAGCAGGCGAUCACCUGUGAGAUACAUUCAUCUUGGGAGGUCUGACUGUGCUUGAAAUGGCCAGUUUCGUUCCACUGCGCUUGAGACUUGUCUGCAAUUCACACGCACACGCGCACACAUGCCACACACACAUAUACCAAACACAAACACUCACAUCGCUCCUUUAAUCAGCCAAAACAUGCUCUCUUAAUCUUUUUAAUGUGUGGGUGCCAAUGCUUAUCUACCUGCUGAUCACUAGGCCUGCAUUUCCUAUCUCCCCCUAUCUGGUCCAUCUGUGGAACACCCCUGCUCUUUCAUAACCUGGCGGAAAAUGCCAUUGCCCCACCUCAGCGGGGGUGUUUUAAUGAAUGUCUCAGCUGCCUGACAAGGGUGACAGCCCAUCUCCUCCAGUGGUUCUGUUACAAGUGUUUAAUAUUCCCACACACAAUGAGGAUUGUUUUACUAUCUUCGUGAGGACCACCAAUUGAGUACCAUGAGAAAAGUAACCUUAAAACGAACCCGUUCCCUAUCCUAAAACCCUUAACCUAACCAUAACCUCAACUUUGUAAGCUGUAACGGGCCAUAUGUCUUCAAUUUGCUAGAUUUUACAGUUUUUUUCUAUACUUGUGAGGAAAAACUAGUUCACCUACACACAAAGAACACACACUCAUCUAAGACAGUCAUUCUUUCCCUCAUUUCUCUCGUUCACUCUCAUUUUCUCUCCCUCGCUUGUCUAGCUCAGGGUGUGUCUCUGCUUGCUCAUUAGGGCUACCUGUCACUCCCUCACUCAGAGGUUGGCAAAUAGUUCCUCUAUUAGCGGCAUUAUUGUGUAGUCUAAUAUCGCCCAUCUGUCAUAGCUGCACAGCUGGCUUGGUCUUUAUGCAUGUGCGUGAGCCAGGUCUAUGUGAACAUCAUGGGACCUGAGGACCCCACAUAGGUAUUAAAAACAGACAUAUAGGCCCCACAUAUUUGGGGGGCUGGUCCCGAUUAUAGUGUUAGAAUUGGGGUUACCGAAAAAAAGAAAAAAUUGGCGUUACUUGUAGUUUCAGUCAUUACAAGUUAAAUGAAGUUCGACAUUGAAGUUAGGUUAGGUUAAGUUUUGGUUAGGGUUAGGUUAGGGUUAGGGUUAGGUUAAGUUUAGGCAUAUAAGUUAUGACGUCAAGGUAAUGAUUAAGGAUAGGGAACAUGGUUUUCUGGGUCAGAGUCAGGUAUCCGAUGUGUAAUCUUAUCACUUCACCUCCAGUUCUGACAAAAAUCUGAAUUACCUUUGUGUGACUGAACACCUCUCCUGUUGUCUUAAGGUUAAUAGGACCCCACAUCAUGGCAGGGUGUUUGCAAACACUGAAAAACAUCUGACUAUCAAAACAUACAUAAGAUGAAUGAGUCAAAUAAAAAAUCAAAC
ensembl:lncRNA